rnacentral:rRNA from 1 species
GACGAACGCUGGCGGCGGGCUUAACACAUGCAAGUCGAACGAGGUUUACCGAGUAGCAAUACGAGGGAAGACCUAGUGGCGAACGGGUGAGUAUCACGUGAGAAACCAACCCCGGUCUCUGGGAUAACAGUUGGAAACGACUGCUAAUACUGGAUGUCGUCGUACCCUCGCAUGGGGGGAUGACGAAAGGGUUACCGGAUCGGGACGGUCUCGCGGCCUAUCAGCUUGUUGGGGAGGUAACGGCUCACCAAGGCUUCGACGGGUAGCUGGUCUGAGAGGAUGAUCAGCCACACUGGGACUGAGACACGGCCCAGACUCCUACGGGAGGCAGCAGUGGGGAAUCUUGCGCAAUGGGCGAAAGCCUGACGCAGCCACGCCGCGUGCGGGAUGAAGGCCCUAGGGUUGUAAACCGCUUUUAACAGGAACGAAAAUGACGGUACCUGUAGAAUAAGGUGCGGCCAACUACGUGCCAGCAGCCGCGGUGACACGUAGGCACCAAGCGUUGUCCGGAUUUAUUGGGCGUAAAGAGCUCGUAGGCGGUUCAGUAAGUCGGGUGUGAAAACUCUGGGCUUAACCCAGAGACGCCACUCGAUACUAUUGUGACUAGAGUUCGGUAGGGGAGCGGGGAAUUCCUAGUGUAGCGGUGAAAUGCGCAGAUAUUAGGAGGAACACCGGUGGCGAAGG